rnacentral:RNase_P_RNA from 3 species
UGAGUCAGUCAGGCGGCCGCGUCGGCAUCUCCUUCGGGCGGUGCCGCCGAGGAACGUCCGGGCUCCGCAGGGCAGGGUGGUGGGUAACACCCACCCGGGGUGACCCGCGGGACAGUGCCACAGAGAACAGACCGCCACGGCCGACCGGUUCGCCGGACGGACGCGGUAAGGGUGAAACGGUGGUGCAAGAGACCACCAGCGCACCGGGUGACCGGUGCGGCUAGGUAAACCCCACCCGGAGCAAGACCAGACAGGGAGCGUCCGAGGGCUGCCCGCCCGAGCUCCCGGGUAGGUCGCUGGAGGCGUGCGGCAACGUACGUCGUAGAUGGAUGGCCGCCACCCGUGCGGGGGCAACCGCGCACGGGGACAGAACCCGGCGUACCGACUGACUCAUCCG